AGGAUGAGGACAGUGAUGUCUCUUUGGAGGACACCUGUAGGAUCACAGGAUUCCUUCGCACAUUUAUUGAGAACGCAUCUCCUAACUUCCUUGGGAAACUCCUGCAGUUCUGGGUUGGAUGGAGUGUGCUUCCCAGACAGUUGGAUGUUGAGGUGGUGGAGAGCAACUUCCCCAAGUCUUCCACCUGCUUCCACCUGCUGAAAAUCCCAGGACAUUACAAAGAGUAUGGAAACUUUGAAAGAGACAUUCUCGCUGCUAUUUGUAGCACUGACACUGGGUUUGGAAUGGUCUAAUGAGACAGUAUAGUUUUGCCACUGUAUAACACUGGUGCAAUAAAGCCGGCAUGUUUUCGAUAUAGUACAGCAUAUGUAAUUUAGUUCAUUAUGCCUCUGUCAGUUAAACACACUGUUCACUAAGCGAAAUUGUUUAAAAGCCAGUUGUUGCUGUUAUUUAUUUAAUAUAUUGUUCUGAAAAAAAAUGUAGAAGCUCCUUAUUUCUACUUAUGUUAAAAUUACCUCAUCCAUAUAAAACAAAUGUAAUAUCUAUCAAAACAUUGCGAUUCAGCAAUGGAAUUAGAACUGCGCUAAAGCAAAGCACUGUGUCUUUAUGUAACUCACACAUUCUGCAUCAUGGAGCUUGUGAGGGAGGAAUUUACUGGAGCAUUUCUGAUAAUAAGCUCACAGUUUGGACAUAGACAUCAAAAACAUCAGACAGAGGGCCACUGGGGUCUGGUAGAUUUUCAGCUUCCUGCUCAGUCAGUGAGCGCUGCAGCUGAGCUUCAGGGAUCACAACACCAGGUUGACGGUGACCACAUGGUCCAGUCCAGUCGAUUCCAAACUCCAUGUCAACCUGCAAUUGGAGGAGCUCUUGUUAAAGGGUUAGUUUAGCCAAAAUCUCAGUUAAAAUGGCAAAAAUCCUUACAGAAUUAUAAGCCACCCUCAGUCAAUUCGAUUUACAGGAACUAGAUUGAAACAAAACUUGUUUUAUCAUCUCUUGGGAUUCUGGAUAAAUCUUCGAUGAAUAACAUCAGCAUCAAAAAGAGAGAUUGUUUAGAAUUCUCAAAGAGCCAAUAACUUAAUUUAGAGUACUGAUGCAGGUUUACAUUUACUUUGUUAUAUACCUUAUACUGUAUUAUUUCCCACUGCUACAUGUUGUUACAACAGUAAACAGUUUUUGUAAUUUCCGAUAAAGUUGUGAGAAUGUUGACAUUGUUCCAUGUAUGACAGUUAUAGUAAAAAAUAAAAUUGCCUGUAUA